rnacentral:lncRNA from 1 species
CUGGAAAUCAGUUUCCUUUUACUGUGACAAAAUAUCAGAGAUGAUCAACUUAGUAAGUGAAAAGGUUUAUUUUGGUUCAUGGUAUCUGAGGAUUCAGGCCACGGUUUCUUGGAACCCUUGCUCUGGACCCAUAAUAGCUCAGUACAUUACAUGAAGAGGUGGGCCUGUUUGCCUCAUGGUAUCCAGGAAGAAGAAGAGAAAAAUAGAAAGGGACGGGUUCCACAAUCCCCUUCAAGGACAUGCUUCCAGUGACCUAAGUUUCUUCCACUAGACCCAACCUCUUAAAGGUUCCACCACCUCCCAAAGCACCUCAGCCUGGGACCAAGAUUUUAACAAGUGUGACUUUGAGAAACACUUUAAACUAUAAUAUUUAAGCUAUCAGAAGUUAAUGCUAUUAGGACACUGAUCAAAAAUUGAACAGAUUUUUGUCAAUUUUGAAGAACUUAAGGAUUUACACUCACUAUUUCUUGUUGAAGCUUUCCAGUCUGUCAUAUUUAGACAGACUCUAAGCUUUGACUUUUUACC